AAGAGUUUAGUUUAAUUUAAAAAUGUUAGAUUGUAAAUCUAAAGAUCUUUACUCUUG
rnacentral:tRNA from 1 species